rnacentral:lncRNA from 1 species
GGUAUGUCUUCUGAAGUACUAGGUACUCUUCUGGAUGCCAUUUGCCUUGGCGGUAGAGUUCACCCUUGAGCCAUGUUUUAAAAUGUAAAAAUAUGCAUAGAGAGAGGGAUAACAGGUAUCUGAGAAUAUCUGUAGACCUUUACGUGAAGAAUCUUCUGCACUGACAUUUCUUACAGGGUGGCUGGAAAAAAUCACAUCCCUCUUUCCACUCUGUCACUGACAGGUGUUGCAUAUUAUGAAACUAAAUAUCUAAGUGCUUAACACUGUGUAGGGAUUCUAGACUAUGACAUGCAUUCCUAGCAUCCAAUGUCUAAAGCUUUUUAUAGUUCCUGCCUGGUGUGUGUCUCUGGAGCCAAAAGGAAGGUUAAGUGGUUUUGCUUCCUCUGAUAUCAGACAAAGCUUUCAGUGAACAACUUUCAGGGCUUGUAUUCAAAGGAUAUCUGAGAUGGGACCUUGCAUGACCAGACUAGCAGGAGUGGGUUUGCUGUCCUGGUGUAUUUCUGCAGGGCAGUGCCCUGCAAAGCUGAGUAGGAAGGUUCAGCACUGCCCUGUCACAGCUUGGCUGAGCAGUGAUUAGGUUUUCAUUCCCAAAUGUGUCAUCUGUGAGAUUUGCAGGCCAUUUCCUUGAUAUAAGGGGGAAACUAGAGGAAAGUUGUGAUUAAACUGCUGAAGUGAUUGAUGUAGGCAGUUGCUGUGAUCCUGGCCCAUGGCCAACAUCACUGGGAAGCUGCAGUGCCUGGAAGCACAGGAAGCACAGGGAUAUGGAGCAAACAGUGACAAUCUGCCAAUUUCAUCUGUGAAUGUAUGGACUCAGGAGACAGGCUAUCAUCUCUUGGAGGAAGCAGUUAUGGGACAGUGUGUGUCAGCUGGAAGAUGAAGGGCCCUGUGCUCCUUUAAAGAGCUGUGGAAAAUUUGCAUCAUUUGCAUAUCCUGAGGAUAUUGCAGGGCGCAGGAGUGUGUCUGAACUGGCCACAACACGUGUGAGAAUAAACCCCUUUUCCAUUUCUCCAAGUUCUUCUGAAAUGCUUGUUUGGCAGUUGUUGAGAAGACAGAAGAAGAAGGCCCAGGUGGAGAACUUCCCUGUGUAGUACUUCCACUGGCUUGCAUUUUCCUUGCUCUUGCUCCACACUAUGGGCUAGGUACAACGCAAAUCAAGAUGCUGGAUGUUAGCUACGCGGUUUUGGAGGGUACCCAGUCAUAAAGAACUUGAUGCAAGAUGAAGUUUUCAUUUUGAAUGCUUAAAAGUGAGCUUUUCAAGACUUUUGUGUGUAAAUACAGGGAAGCCUAUACAAGAAAGCGCCUCAAUUAAAACCCUUCUUUUAAUUGACAGUCUCAAAUAGAGGAAGCUUGAUUUCACUCCAUGUUCUCUGGAAAUACCAUUUCUACUAAGAGAGCUUCACAUAUUGCUCACUGAUUAAUUGC